AUGACAGAAAGUAAAGAAAAAGGAAUAAAACAAAGGAAAGGAGAAGAGAUAUGGUCUCUGAGGCUUCAAAUCUGUGAGUUUUUCAAUCUUCUGAGAUUUCUCCGUUUGUCAAGAGCAUGGUUGCAAAGGGUAUGGAUUGAAGAUUUGAGGAAGGAGGCAACCGUAGAAAAGUUUGAAGGCAUGGAAGAGUUGCUUGAGCAUGGAGUAGAAGCUUGA